rnacentral:tRNA from 1 species
GGCUCGGUAGCUUAGUUGGUAAAGCGCUUGUCUAGCAUACAAGAGUCCUGGGUUCCCGAGCAC